AGAACUGGCAACUUAAGCAGAGGUGACAGGGUCCUUCUGAUAUAUACAGAUUGGGCUGAGAUGAUAUCUUCAGGACCCAAAAAAAGAGUACAACCAGAGGCCAGAACAUGGAAAUUAUUUUGACAUUUUUUGGCAGAAAGAAGAUUCGUGCACCAGUUUUUUGGAUCCAAUGCCAAAGAAGGACAGGAUGAAUUGCAGGACAAGACAUGAAGAGAAAUUACAAAAUGAGAAGCACCGUUAGUGGUGACAUAGCAGAAAAAGUCGAAGGAGAAAACAAGAGACUUGGAAGCAAUUCGUUAACAAGUAUCAAAGCUGCAAUGUUUAGUUUUUAGUAACAAAUUACCAAAGAAG